AGAGUUUGAUCCUGGCUCAGGACGAACGCUGGCGGCGUGCCUAAUACAUGCAAGUCGAGCGAAUCUGAUAAAAGUUUGCUUUUUGAAGGUUAGCGGCGGACGGGUGAGUAACACGUGGGCAACCUGCCUGUAAGACUGGGAUAACUUCGGGAAACCGGAGCUAAUACCGGAUAAUUAUAAAGAACCUCCUGGUUCUUUAUUGAAAGAUGGUUUCGGCUAUCACUUACAGAUGGGCCCGCGGCGCAUUAGCUAGUUGGUGAGGUAACGGCUCACCAAGGCGACGAUGCGUAGCCGACCUGAGAGGGUGAUCGGCCACACUGGGACUGAGACACGGCCCAGACUCCUACGGGAGGCAGCAGUAGGGAAUCUUCCACAAUGGACGAAAGUCUGAUGGAGCAACGCCGCGUGAGCGACGAAGGCCUUCGGGUCGUAAAGCUCUGUUGUUAGGGAAGAACAAGUACCGGAGUAACUGCCGGUACCUUGAUGGUACCUAACCAGAAAGCCACGGCUAACUACGUGCCAGCAGCCGCGGUAAUACGUAGGUGGCAAGCGUUGUCCGGAAUUAUUGGGCGUAAAGCGCGCGCAGGCGGUUUCUUAAGUCUGAUGUGAAAGCCCACGGCUCAACCGUGGAGGGUCAUUGGAAACUGGGAAACUUGAGUGCAGAAGAGGAAAGUGGAAUUCCACGUGUAGCGGUGAAAUGCGUAGAGAUGUGGAGGAACACCAGUGGCGAAGGCGACUUUCUGGUCUGUAACUGACGCUGAGGCGCGAAAGCGUGGGGAGCAAACAGGAUUAGAUACCCUGGUAGUCCACGCCGUAAACGAUGAGUGCUAAGUGUUAGAGGGUUUCCGCCCUUUAGUGCUGCAGCUAACGCACUAAGCACUCCGCCUGGGGAGUACGGUCGCAAGACUGAAACUCAAAGGAAUUGACGG
rnacentral:rRNA from 1 species